GACGAACGCUGGCGGCGUGCUUAACACAUGCAAGUCGAACGAUGAAGCCUAGCUUGCUAGGUGGAUUAGUGGCGAACGGGUGAGUAAUACGUGAGUAACCUACCUUUAACUCUGGGAUAAGCCUGGGAAACUGGGUCUAAUACCGGAUACGACCAAUCUCCGCCUGGGGUGUUGGUGGAAAGCGUUAUGUAGUGGUUAUAGAUGGGCUCACGGCCUAUCAGCUUGUUGGUGAGGUAACGGCUCACCAAGGCGACGACGGGUAGCCGGCCUGGGAGGGUGACCGGCCACACUGGGACUGAGACACGGCCCAGACUCCUACGGGAGGCAGCAGUGGGGAAUAUUGCACAAUGGGCGCAAGCCUGAUGCAGCGACGCCGCGUGAGGGAUGACGGCCUUCGGGUUGUAAACCUCUGUUAGCAGGGAAGAAGAGAAAUUGACGGUACCUGCAGAGAAAGCGCCGGCUAACUACGUG
rnacentral:rRNA from 1 species